UGGCCUGUGAGGGUUGCUGGAGGUAUCAGAAGUGCGAAUGCUGACAUAAGUAACGAUAAAGCGGGUGAAAAGCCCGCUCGCCGGAAGACCAAGGGUUCCUGUCCAACGUUAAUCGGGGCAGGGUGAGUCGACCCCUAAGGCGAGGCCGAAAGGCGUAGUCGAUGGGAAACGGGUUAAUAUUCCCGUACUUGGUGUUACUGCGAAGGGGGGACGGAGAAGGCUAUGUUGGCCGGGCGACGGUUGUCCCGGUUUAAGCGUGUAGGUGUGUGUUCCAGGUAAAUCCGGUUCACUUUAACACUGAGGCGUGACGACGAGGCACUACGGUGCUGAAGCAACAAAUGCCCUGCUUCCAGGAAAAGCCUCUAAGCAUCAGGUAACAUCAAAUCGUACCCCAAACCGACACAGGUGGUCAGGUAGAGAAUACCAAGGCGCUUGAGAGAACUCGGGUGAAGGAACUAGGCAAAAUGGUGCCGUAACUUCGGGAGAAGGCACGCUGACACGUAGGUGAAGUGAUUUACUCAUGGAGCUGAAGUCAGUCGAAGAUACCAGCUGGCUGCAACUGUUUAUUAAAAACACAGCACUGUGCAAACACGAAAGUGGACGUAUACGGUGUGACGCCUGCCCGGUGCCGGAAGGUUAAUUGAUGGGGUCAGCGCAAGCGAAGCUCCUGAUCGAAGCCCCGGUAAACGGCGGCCGUAACUAUAACGGUCCUAAGGUAGCGAAAUUCCUUGUCGGGUAAGUUCCGACCUGCACGAAUGGCGUAAUGAUGGCCAGGCUGUCUCCACCCGAGACUCAGUGAAAUUGAACUCGCUGUGAAGAUGCAGUGUACCCGCGGCAAGACGGAAAGACCCCGUGAACCUUUACUAUAGCUUGACACUGAACAUUGAGCCUUGAUGUGUAGGAUAGGUGGGAGGCUUUGAAGUGUGGACGCCAGUCUGCAUGGAGCCGACCUUGAAAUACCACCCUUUAAUGUUUGAUGUUCUAACGUGGACCCGUUACCCGGGUUGCGGACAGUGUCUGGUGGGUAGUUUGACUGGGGCGGUCUCCUCCUAAAGAGUAACGGAGGAGCACGAAGGUUGGCUAAUCCUGGUCGGACAUCAGGAGGUUAGUGCAAUGGCAUAAGCCAGCUUGACUGCGAGCGUGACGGCGCGAGCAGGUGCGAAAGCAGGUCAUAGUGAUCCGGUGGUUCUGAAUGGAAGGGCCAUCGCUCAACGGAUAAAAGGUACUCCGGGGAUAACAGGCUGAUACCGCCCAAGAGUUCAUAUCGACGGCGGUGUUUGGCACCUCGAUGUCGGCUCAUCACAUCCUGGGGCUGAAGUAGGUCCCAAGGGUAUGGCUGUUCGCCAUUUAAAGUGGUACGCGAGCUGGGUUUAGAACGUCGUGAGACAGUUCGGUCCCUAUCUGCCGUGGGCGCUGGAGAACUGAGGGGGGCUGCUCCUAGUACGAGAGGACCGGAGUGGACGCAUCACUGGUGUUCGGGUUGUCAUGCCAAUGGCACUGCCCGGUAGCUAAAUGCGGAAGAGAUAAGUGCUGAAAGCAUCUAAGCACGAAACUUGCCCCGAG
rnacentral:rRNA from 1 species